UCCUACGGGAGGCAGCAGUGGGGAAUAUUGGACAAUGGGCGCAAGCCUGAUCCAGCAAUGCCGCGUGAGUGAGGAAGGCCUUAGGGUUGUAAAGCUCUUUCACCCACGACGAUGAUGACGGUAGUGGGAGAAGAAGCCCCGGCUAACUUCGUGCCAGCAGCCGCGGUAAUACGAAGGGGGCGAGCGUUGUUCGGAUUUACUGGGCGUAAAGGGCGCGCAGGCGGCUAUCUUUGUCAGGCGUGAAAGCCCCGGGCUCAACCUGGGAAUGGCGCUUGGGACGGGGUGGCUAGAGAUCGGGAGAGGAGCGUGGAAUUCCCAGUGUAGAGGUGAAAUUCGUAGAUAUUGGGAAGAACACCGGUGGCGAAGGCGGCGCUCUGGACCGAUACUGACGCUGAGGCGCGAAAGCGUGGGGAGCAAACAGGAUUAGAUACCCCGGUAGUCC
rnacentral:rRNA from 1 species